GCAGUCGAGCGGGCAUAGCAAUAUGUCAGCGGCAGACGGGUGAGUAACGCGUGGGAACGUACCUUUUGGUUCGGAACAACUGAGGGAAACUUCAGCUAAUACCGGAUAAGCCCUUACGGGGAAAGAUUUAUCGCCGAAAGAUCGGCCCGCGUCUGAUUAGCUAGUUGGUGAGGUAAUGGCUCACCAAGGCGACGAUCAGUAGCUGGUCUGAGAGGAUGAUCAGCCACAUUGGGACUGAGACACGGCCCAAACUCCUACGGGAGGCAGCAGUGGGGAAUAUUGGACAAUGGGCGCAAGCCUGAUCCAGCCAUGCCGCGUGAGUGAUGAAGGCCCUAGGGUUGUAAAGCUCUUUUGUGCGGGAAGAUAAUGACGGUACCGCAAGAAUAAGCCCCGGCUAACUUCGUGCCAGCAGCCGCGGUAAUACGAAGGGGGCUAGCGUUGCUCGGAAUCACUGGGCGUAAAGGGUGCGUAGGCGGGUCUUUAAGUCAGGGGUGAAAUCCUGGAGCUCAACUCCAGAACUGCCUUUGAUACUGAA
rnacentral:rRNA from 1 species